rnacentral:rRNA from 1 species
UGGGGAAUAUUGCACAAUGGGGGAAACCCUGAUGCAGCGACGUCGCGUGGAGGAUGAAGGUUUUCGAAUCGUAAACUCCUGUUCAGAGGGAAGAAAGGCUUAGGUUUAAUAGACUUGAGUUAUGACAGUACCUCUAGAGAAAGCCCCGGCUAACUUCGUGCCAGCAGCCGCGGUAAUACGAAGGGGGCGAGCGUUAUUCGGAAUUACUGGGCGUAAAGAGCGUGUAGGUGGUAUGAUAAGUCAGUUGUUAAAGACUACGGCCCAACCGUAGAGCAGCGAUUGAAACUGUUAUACUAGAGGGUAGGAGAGAGGAGUGGAAUUCUCGGAGUAGCGGUAGAAUGCGUAAAUCUCGAGAGGAACACCGAUUGCGAAGGCAGCUUCUUGGCCUAUCCCUGACACUCAAACGCGAAAGCGUGGGGAGCAAACAGGAUUAGAUACCCCCGUAGUCC